rnacentral:rRNA from 1 species
CCUACGGGAGGCUGCAGUGGGGAAUAUUGGACAAUGGGUGAAAGCCUGAUCCAGCCAUGCCGCGUGUGUGAAGAAGGCCUUCGGGUUGUAAAGCACUUUCAGUGGGGAAGAAAGCCUUGGGGCUAAUACCCUCGAGGAAGGACAUCACCCACAGAAGAAGCACCGGCUAACUCCGUGCCAGCAGCCGCGGUAAUACGGAGGGUGCGAGCGUUAAUCGGAAUUACUGGGCGUAAAGCGCGCGUAGGCGGUCUGAUAAGCCGGUUGUGAAAGCCCCGGGCUCAACCUGGGAACGGCAUCCGGAACUGUCAGGCUAGAGUGCAGGAGAGGAAGGUAGAAUUCCAGGUGUAGCGGUGAAAUGCGUAGAGAUCGGGAGGAAUACCAGUGGCGAAGGCGGCCUUCUGGACUGACACUGACGCUGAGGUGCGAAAGCGUGGGUAGCAAACAGGAUUAGAUACCCCAGUAGUC